GGGCUUUAUUCGGGCUGAGCCAUGGUAAGCUCAAACUCGGCUCAUAGUUUAAUCGGGUUUAAUGAAACGGCUCAAACUCGGCCCGGCUCACAAUUAAUCGGGCUCGGCUCAAAUAAAAUCGGGCCUAGCUAUCGGGCUUCGUUCGGGUAGGCCCGGCUCAAUUGCCGGUCCUAUAUAUAUAUAUAUAUAUAUAUAUAUAU
rnacentral:lncRNA from 1 species